rnacentral:tRNA from 1 species
GCCCCGGUGGCGGAACUGGCAGACGCGCACGGCUCAGACCCGUGUGCCCGCACGGGCGUGCCGGUUCGACUCCGGCCCGGGGUA